CUUGCAACCUACCUUUGUUUCAAAGGUUA
rnacentral:piRNA from 1 species